rnacentral:misc_RNA from 1 species
GUGAAACACCGGAUUCCUCUGCAAAGAGAAGGUCCGACCCACUAUCACACACACUUGUGCACUUGUCAUUUUUAUACAAAUCCAUUUUGUACACACUUUUGCAUUUUGAAGGUUGAUUUUAUAAACAUAAACGAAAGAA